rnacentral:tRNA from 1 species
GUCAGGAUAGCUCAGUUGGUAGAGCAGAGGACUGAAAAUCCUCGUGUCA